UUGUUUCUCUAGUUUUACUAGUAGCUUUUCCUCUUCUUAUGUCUUCUGACGGUGGUGAGGUCAAGGGCAAAAAUCCUCGUGGUGGCCAAGAUUCUCAGUUGACACCUCCUUGGACCAUGUCCAAGGACACUCCUUGGACCACCACCAAGGCCGGCUCCUCCGCUGGGUGCCAAACCUUUGAAUCCCAAAGCAUGGGUAGCCCUAUGCAUAGGUUUGGAGAUUUCUAAGGACCCAAGUAAUGAAGAAUCGAGCGUUACUGAGGACGACCUUGAAAGAUUUCAUUCUC
rnacentral:lncRNA from 1 species